AGGAGCGAUGAGAGAGGAGGAGCGAUGAGAGAGGAGGAGCGAUGAGAGAGGAACGAUGAGAGAGGAGGAACGAUGAGAGAGGAGGAACGAUGAGAGGAGCACCUCGUCACGUCACCAUCACCUGUCAUCAUGAACAAGCCUGACAGGUGACAGGUGAUGGUGUCAGAGUGACAGGUGAUGUGUCAGAGUGACAGGUGAUGUGUCAGAGUGACAGGUGACAGGUGAUGGUGUCAGAGUGACAGGUGAUGGUGUCAGAGUGACAGGUGAUGUGUCAGAGUGACAGGUGAUGGUGUCAGAGUGACAGGUGAUGGUGUUGAAGUGACAGGUGACAGGUGAUGGUGUUGAAGUGACAGGUGACAGUAAAGAAACAGGCGAAGCGGCUGAUUGGUUUAAAUGUUUGUAUUGCUUCUUAAAGAAAACUCCUCGUGCUCAGGUGAACGGCUCUCUGACACGUCACAGGUGUUUCCAGGUGAGCUCCUCCCGUCACGAACACGUGAUUAGAAAUGUUUGGAAGCGAACGCCUCAGGCAGGUGGAUGACCUGACGGAGGCAGACUCAGUCGAAUUAACGUCCCUGUGAUGUUUUCUCAGUAAUCUGAGGCAGAAAUACUCUGAUUACUUUGAUACUCUGCAACGUAAACGAAGCCACACUCGCCCUAACACCGUUGUAUUGUGGGUAAUGUAGGCUGCAGGUGACCUUCUGAGAGCCGAUGACCUCACGAGAACGACGGCGCCCUUCACAUCACCACCUGUCGUCACCUGAGCGACACGCCUCCACCCAGGAGGACCAAUCACAGCUCGCUCCGUCACUACUACCAAAACUACUCUGAUUACUUAACGAGCGCGGGUGGAGUGGGUGAAGAAAACAAACGCUCCCUCUCUCUCUCUUUGAUCUCUGCCUUUGAAUACAUUGUGCUUUGAUUAAUAGAGCGAACACGCUGAUCUUCUAUAUAAAUACAAAUCUGUCUUAUAGAUGUACAUUCACUUUGAUCUCUCAAUAUAUAGACUCAUUUACAUAUUUUAUAAAAUAGGCUUCUCAGAAUAUAUCGAGCUAAUUUCCCCACGACACGAUCACACAUCAAACAUCGUGACGUCACAACGAGCACGUUUUUUUUCAUACGUAUGGCUUUUCUCUGCGCCGCCUCGACUUCGACGUCACGCCGGACUCUCCGUUAACUUAUUGCAACGCUCUGAAUGAGUUGAAGUUUUUUUUAAUGUGUGCGGUGCCAAAAAAGUUUCAAGUCCAUCUACAGGGUUCUCUGGAUUUGACUUAAGUGCACUUCACUGGCACAGACGAACGUCAGAGCGAAGCCUCUUCUUCUUCUUCAGGAGACUUCAAGUGUGUGUGUGUGUGUGUGUGUGUGUGUGUGUGUGUGUGUGGGGCUCCUGACCCAUCAUCUUUGACCUCUCGCCUUCCUCCAAGGCACUGCUUUAAGCUGUAAACAUGGCAGGUUGAUUAGAAAAAUCAGGAUUGAGUGUCAGAGCUCGUGUUGGUGCGACGGCGUCGUCGUCUGAAAUGUGGCACGUGACUGAAGAAUAAAAACGACUUAAAUAUCGACUGUGAUGGCGUACAUGCUGUGUGUGUUUAGUCUAAUCAUCCGUAAAGUUCUACUGAUUCAUGUCAUCCGGGACUCUGACCACGUAUGAAACAAACCUCCGUCGAUCACGAGCCAACAUUCCUUUCACAGACUCGACCUGUGGCCUGGUGCAGCGUUAACAGAGUUUAUAGGACACGCAGCUAAUAAAGCACGACAGCAGAUUAUUAGUGAGCAGUCAGCUGAUUUUUUUUGGAUAUAUUUACACCCUGGAAGGAACAUUGGUUAGUGAUCUGCACGAGGAGUUUCUCAUUUCAGCUCCUUUGGCCUCGUUUCAUCCCCCCUGAUGCAGAAGAUGCUGUGAACUUUGGCAGAAUGUACAGAUAGAAAAUAUAUUAAUAAGUCUCGUGUUCCAGCCGUCCACUUCAAAUCUUUCCACUGAGCUGAACCACCGAAAAAACACGAGAAAGAUCCACACGAGCCGAAGUGAAAGUGUAAUGUACAGCGGAGCGGAUCACCGCGCGGUGACCGCGCUCCAACACGACCAGCCAAACACGCGACCUCCCCUCCUCGAACAAAGACUCCACGAGAACAGCGUAUAUUGCGAUAUAACAGCAAUAUAAUUACAGUAAAUUAAGGAGAGCAGUCGGCUAAUACCAAUACAGAAUCACUACAUAUAAAUAACAAAGUCUGUAGUUUGUAAAUCUACCAAAA